GUGUCUACGUCGAUUCUACAGGAAGAAUCUGCCAAGGACAGAAUGUGGACUGACGUCACAAGGAGAAAACGAGAAAAAUCAUGACAGCUUUAAACGCGAAAAAGAUUAAAUCACUUGGAAGACGCAGGAUUCUAAUUAGAUCAGAAUAAGGUCCAGUGGCGACUUUAUGGAUGGAUAAUAUUAAAAUGGAUUCUAAUUAGAUCAGAAUAAGGUCCAGUGGCGACUUUAUGGAUGGAUAAUAUUAAAAUGGAUUCUAAUUAGAUCAGAAUAAGGUCCAGUGGCGACUUUAUGGAUGGAUAAUAUUAAAAUGGAUUCUAAUUUGAUCAGAAUAAGGUCCAGUGGCGACUUUAUGGAUGGAUAAUAUUAAAAUGGAUUCUAAUUUGAUCAGAAUAAGGUCCAGUGGCGACUUUAUGGAUGGAUAAUAUUAAAAUGGAUUCUAAUUUGAUCAGAAUAAGGUCCAGUGGCGACUUUAUGGAUGGAUAAUAUUAAAAUGGAUUCUAAUUUGAUCAGAAUAAGGUCCAGUGGCGACUUUAUGGAUGGAUAAUAUUAAAAUGGAUUCUAAUUAGAUCAGAAUAAGGUCCAGUGGCAAAUAUUGUUAAUAUGGUACUGUGCAUUACAGUUUCACGAACUCGCGGACUAUUUGAAUACACAGCGCAGUGAUAUAUGGCACGAGGAAUCAUCAGUCUGCAAUGAUUACAGUUUUUAAAUAUACCCGCGGUCUGGAAUGCUCUAGUUAUAUCAGUCCCUGAGCUCGGUUUAGUCCGCGUUCGGGUGGAAAGGCAAGCGACUGAACCACUGCUGACGAGUAAGCAUGAAUGACCCUCUUUUGCCCACAACCGAGACUGACGCCCAGCGCUACUGCCCGGUAUGUUUAUCGACUUCAGAGUGAAUCCAGUUCUUUUAUGUGAGACCGACGCUCAUAUGAAAGGUUAACGUCGCAAAAUCUUGUGCAAGGAACGGAUUAAACAAAUUUUCCUCCGGAAAACGUCAUAUAUUUAGUCCGGCUGUUUUAUCCUCACACGUACUGUUUGUGCAUGUCAUCAGAUAAUUACAUUUUCUUCGUAUUCUGCGAACUUGUUAGGUUAUCUUAAAAUCCGUCAGUAUGUUUGCCCUCUCCAGCUUUGUAUCACGUAUUCCCACGUAAUUACUCCAGAAAGUUACAUAAUUAUUACAACAUACUUAAGAACGUGCGUGAGUGAAAUUGUAAAUACUGUUAUGACGCUGGCCACAAGUUAAAUCAGAGCUAUUUGCAGUUAAGAACGAAUAAUAUCGAUCACUGUCUUAUGGACUGUGACGCCGGCGGUCUUGUGGAUAUAUAACGACCCCCAGACAGUAACUAAUCGCUCCUAAGGUCACCAUCUAAAUUUUUUUUAUAGCCACAAAAUCAUGACCUAGAUUGUGAAUCUCUUGUAAACUGAAACGACUUUGGACACAAAUAGAAUAUACCCACGCUUCAAAAAUAAUUUAACAGGCAAGUGAUUAUUUCCUGUCUGAAUGCAGACUACAUAUUUGAAAGCUUCCUGAAACGCUGGUAAACUUCUACAAGACUACAUGGUGUAACAACUCAGAAAUCUUGUUCGCCCCUAGAAAAUGAUAAAAUAAUUAAAAUAGUAUUUCCCCAGACAGUUGGGAAAAGAGCGGAUGUUCACUCUCAUCAAGAAUAUCUAUCAGGAAGGCUGGAUAAUGCUUCCAUCUUUUAUGACUAUGUUCUAACCUUUCAUGUAGUAUGUCAAUUGUCAGACAGAUGUCGCACGGUGUGUUUGAUUUACAGAUUUGCGUUGUUGAUAAUGCAGGUUAAAAUCUCGACGUAGGAAUUGGUUUCGCAAGUUCUCACGUAUAUGUAGGAGAAUGCGCUUUACUUCAACAACUUCGUAUGGUAUUUAGACAAGCGACCGUAGUCUUAAACGUAAUUCCUUGGUUGGAAGAGUAGAGUGCCGCCAUAUUAUCAAAAUAUCUCUAAUUUCUUCUUAGCAGUAAAACAUAAUUAGUGAUCUCAGUCUCGUACUAGAGACAAGUGUAAUUGAGUUAAAAACGGAUAUUUUGCAAAUUUUGACUGUGCUUGUAGUGUCAAUCUGUAGAAGACAGUGCAUAUAACUUUGAGACAAGAUUUUUCAGCUGUUCAAGAAUUUCUACAUAUGAAUAAGGUGUGUUAUCGGGUUUUGGGGGAAAAGCAUUUGACUCCUCUACCAUCAGAUCUGCUCGUGCAGUAGCUAGGACAACCUAGUUCAGGUGUGACAGCUGCGAGAGGAAGCGAGCAGUAGCAAUAAGAAAGACUUGCUCUGAUUGGUUUACCUCCCACCAGAUGACAGUCCUUGCUACUGCGCAAUCGCGUCAUCUUAUGUGAAGCCUGUUACAACCAUUACUAUACUGCAUUCCAGAAAAUGACGCAAGAGUACGACGUGGUGAAUCGGAUCUACAUCUGGACGUGCAACCAUGAGGAUGGAAGAUCUCUACAGUGGCUUGUGACUACGUCAGCGAGGCUCCUGACCCCCAGAAAUUCCUCUCUUUGAGUAACAAGCAGAUGGCAGCCUUUCAAUCGAGAAGUUGAUAGCGUGAAAUGGGGACCUCUCGGAGUCAACUGGGUCUCACUGGCGCCGUGCCGUGGAGAAAUACGGGAAACACGUUCUGGACACACAGGCAUACCUCGGAGAUAUUGCGGGCUCGGUUCCAGACCAACGCAAUAAAACGAGUCACACGAAUUUUUUGGUUUCCCAGUGGAUAUAAAAGUUAUGUUUACACUACACUGUAGUUUAUUAAGCAUUAUGUCAGUGUCGGCCACUGAAUUGCCCGCCAUGAGGGACAGAAUGUGAGAAAUGAAAGCCUCAGUGCAUUGCUAAGACCAGGUGUUUUAAGUAUUGUUCUCACAUUGUUUUAAAGCGCAUUUAUGAAGCAUUAUUUAGUGAGAAUUUAAUUAUACUGCUGUAGAAUAAAUCCAGCUUGAAUUGAACUCACGACGUUGUUACAAAAUAUAAUUUUCCCCAGGUGCUACCUAAUCUCAAGCACUCGCAAUGAAUAUUAGCCCCUGAAACUGAGACACAAAUUUUGAUACCCACACAAACAACAGGAAAAAUUACUUUGGUUCGUUUUAAUAGCACUGGAAACACAAAAUAUUGGUAUUUAAAUAGACUUGCAGAGAGCUGUAGUAGUAUUUAAAAGGGACCGCAAAGGGUUAAUAUUAGUAAUUAAAGUACGUUUGUUGUUUGAUUCAGUUUUUUGUUUGAUUAAGUGUGUUUCUUCUCUUGACAUACAAUAGGCCGAGUUAACUUUCUUAAAAUUAUGAAGAAUAAUAUGUGUGCUUUUGAGUAUAAACAGUCGGAUAUAAUUUUCUAUUUAUUUUUUGUAAUAAUAAAACAAUUUCUUUUCUUA